GACGAACGCUGGCGGCGUGCUUAACACAUGCAAGUCGAACGGAAAGGCCCUGCUUUUGUGGGGUGCUCGAUUGGCGAACGGGUGUGUAACACGUGAGUAACCUCCCCUUGACUUUGGGAUAACUUCAGGAAACUGGGGCUAAUACCGGAUAGGAGCUCCUGCUGCAUGGGGGGGGUUGGAAAGUUUCGGCGGUUGGGGAUGGACUCGCGGCUUAUCAGCUUGUUGGUGGGGUAGUGGCUUACAAAGGCUUUGACGGGUAGCCGGCAUGAGAGGGUGAACGGCGACAUUGGGCCUGAGAUACGGCCCAGAAUGCAACGGGAGGCAGCAGUGGGGAAUAUUGCAGAAUGGGCGGAAGCCUGAUGCAGAGACGCCGCGUGCGUGAUGACGGCCUUCGGGUUGUAAACAGCUUUCGACUGUGACGAAGCGUGAGUGACGGUAAUGGGUAAAGAAGCACCGGCUAACUACGUG
rnacentral:rRNA from 1 species